rnacentral:rRNA from 1 species
CCUACGGGUGGCAGCAGUGAGGAAUAUUGGUCAAUGGACGCAAGUCUGAACCAGCCAUGCCGCGUGCAGGAAGACGGCUCUAUGAGUUGUAAACUGCUUUUGUACGAGGGUAAACGCAGAUACGCGUAUCUGUCUGAAAGUAUCGUACGAAUAAGGAUCGGCUAACUCCGUGCCAGCAGCCGCGGUAAUACGGAGGAUUCAAGCGUUAUCCGGAUUUAUUGGGGUUAAAGGGUGCGUAGGCGGGCGGAUAAGUGAGAGGUGAAAUCCCGCGGCUCCACUUCGGAAUUGCCUCUGGUACUGUUCGGCUAGAGCGUAGUUGCGGUCGGCGGAAUGUAUGGUGUAGCGGU